CGCACGUUGAGCUACUGAGCCCGUGACUUGAAUAUAUUCACAUAUCCACUCCUUACCGCGGCUAUUGUGUUCCGAAACAAGAACAUUCAUAAAAACUGCAUUUUUUCAGUAAAUUUUAUCACCGUGAACUAUUCCUACCUCAGAAGGUAUUAUUAGGAAAUAAAUAGAUCCAUUUAGCGAAUGAGCCGGAGCGAACAAUACACGGGCGUGGAUAUAAUUAAACGGAAUUAUUGCUUAGCCAUAAAUAUAUGGAAACAGUCCCCAAUGAAUAUUUUAACUCAACAGUAUUUUGACUAUGCAAGGGUACUGAAAACAAACCGCAUCUUCCUAGUAGGCACUUUCGUGUUAUGAUCAAUGUUAUUAUAAGAUGUUGCCGUGACCAACACAGAUUCGGUUGCUAUCUGUCGCAAAUCACAUUCGAUUAUAAUUAGAUAAUAAACUACAAACACUUGUCAACAUUGUAA